ensembl:snRNA U6 U6 spliceosomal RNA
GUGUUCACUUUAGCAGCACAUAUACUUAAAUUGGAACAAUAGCAAGAUUAGCAUUGUCCCUACACAAGGGUGGCAGGUAAAUUUAUAAAGUGUUCUAUAUUCUU